rnacentral:misc_RNA from 1 species
UCCGGUUUGACACCGGCAGUCUCGUUAGAGUCCUCAGCAUUACCUGUUAGCAACUAACGACAAGGGUUGCGCUCGUUAAGGGACUUAACCCGACACUUCACAGCACGAGCUGACGACAGCCAUGCAGCACCUGUGCUUGUUCCACUCUUGCGAGUGUGGCUCCUCUUUCAAGGAGUUAAUCCAAGCAUGUCAAACCCAGGUAAGGUUCUUCGCGUUGCUUCGAAUUGAACCACAUCAUCCACCGCUUGUGCGGGCCCCCGUCAAUUCCUUUGAGUUUUAACCUUGCGGCCGUAGUCCCCAGGCGGAGCACUUAGUGCGUUAGCGUCGGCACCGCGGGGGUCAAUACCCACGACACCUAGUGCUCAUCGUUUACAGCGUGGACUAC